AGAGUUUGAUCCUGGCUCAGAACGAACGCUGGUGGUAUGCUUAACACAUGCAAGUCGAACGGAACUUUAGGAGCUUGCUCUUAAAGUUUAGUGGCAAACGGGUGAGGAAUGUAUAGGAAUCUACCUAGCAGUAAGGAAUAACCCUGGGAAACCCUGGGAAAUGCCAUAUAUUACCAUAUAUUACCGAUUUAUCGGGAAAGAUUUAUCGCUGUUAGAUGAGCCUGUAUCAGAUUAGCUAGUUGGUGGGGUAAUGGCCUACCAAGGCAAUGAUCUGUAGCUGGUCUGAGAGGAUGAUCAGCCACACUGGGACUUAGACACGGCCCAGACUCCUACGGGAGGCAGCAGUGGGGAAUAUUGGACAAUGGGCGCAAGCCUGAUCCAGCAAUACCACGUGAGUGAUGAAGGCUUUCGGGUUGUAAAACUCUUUUAGUAGGGAAGAUAAUGACGGUACCUACAGAAAAAGCACCGGCUAACUUCGUGCCAGCAGCCGCGGUAAUACGAGGGGUGCUAGCGUUGUUCGGAAUCAUUGGGCGUAAAGCGUGCGUAGGCGGCUUGAUAAGUCAGCUGUGAAAGCCCAGGGCUCAACCUUGGAAUUGCAGUUGAAACUAUUAUGGCUAGAGAAUGAAGUGGGAUAGCGGACUUCCUAGUGUAGGGGUGAAAUACGUAGAUAUUAGGAGGAACAUCGGUGGCGAAAGCGACUAUCUAUGUCAGUACUGACGCUGUUGCACGAAAGCGUGGGGAGCAAACAGGAUUAGAUACCCUGGUAGUCCACGCAGUAAACGAUGAGUGCUAGUUAUCGGGCUUUUGGGGUUCGGUGGCGAAGCUAACGCGUUAAGCACUCCGCCUGGGGAGUACGGUCGCAAGGCUAAAACUCAAAGGAAUUGACGGGGACCCGCACAAGCAGUGGAGCAUGUGGUUUAAUUCGAUGCUACGCGAAAAACCUUACCAGCUCUUGUAUCCUAAUCGCGAUUUUCAGAGAUGAAUUUCUUCAGUUCGGCUGGAUUAGUGACAGGUGUUGCAUGGCUGUCGUCAGCUCGUGUCGUGAGAUGUUAGGUUAAGUCCUUCAACGAGCGCAACCCUCAUCCUUAUUUGCCAUCAGGUUAUGCUGGGAACUAUAAGGAAACUGCCAACGACAAGUUGGAGGAAGGUGGGGACGAUGUCAAGUCAUCAUGGCCCUUAUGGGCUGGGCUACACACAUGCUACAAUGGUGACUACAGCAGGCAUGCAAAAGAGCAAUCCGGAGCUAAUCCUUCAAAAAUCAUCUCAGUUCGAAUUGAGGGCUGCAACUCGCCCUCAUGAAGUUGGAAUUGCUAGUAAUCGCGGAUCAGCACGCCACGGUGAAUACGUUCUCGGGUCUUGUACACACUGCCCGUCAAGCCAUGGGAAUUGUUUCUAUCUGAAUAUGGUGAGCUAACCUUCGGGAGGUAGCCAUACACGGUAGGGAUAGUGACUGGGGUUAAGUCGUAACAAGGUA
rnacentral:rRNA from 1 species